rnacentral:misc_RNA from 1 species
GAUGAAGAACGCAGCGAAAUGCGAUAAGUAAUGUGAAUUGCAGAAUUCAGUGAAUCAUCGAAUCUUUGAACUCACCUUGCGCCCUUUGGCUAUUCCGAAGGGCAUGCCUGUUUGAGUAUCAUGAACACCUCAACUCUCAUGGUUUGCCAUGAUGAGCUUGGACUUUGGGGGUCUUGCCGGCCUAUGGGUCGGCUCCUCUCAAAUUAAUCAGCUUGCCAGUGUUUGGUGGCAUCACAGGUGUGAUAACUAUCUACGCUUGUGGUUUUCCAUCAGGUAACCUUCAGUGAUGGAGGUUCGCUGGGGCUCAUAAAUGUCUCUCCUCAGUGAGGACAGCUUUUUUGAACGUUUGAUCUCAAAUCAGGUAGGACUACCCGCUGAACUUAAGCAUAUCAAUAAGCGGAGGA